UUUUCACUCCCCUGUGCUUUUAAGAACCCCACAGCAGGAGCAGGGAGUUCAGCAGGGUGGGAUUUGUGCGGGAGCCACCACAGGUCACCCUGUCAGAGAGAUGGACACGGCACGGGGAAGGGACGAGCUGCUCCUCUCAACUCAGGGGCUCCCUGAGUGGGGGAUAACAAACCCAUCAUGCGAAAAGCCAGCCAGCUUGGAGGGGAACCAGCCAAAACCCCACUGCCUGCAGUCCAGCUGAUUUAUCACACAGCAGGGAUACAGACUCAUCCAUUGCUCAAGGUCCUCCACCUCGCCCAGGCCACGCUGCCCGGUCAGGCAGGAGCGGGGCCGGGAUGGUCACGCACACACCAUCAUCACACGCGCCCAGCGAGCAGGAAAACCCGCCGUGAAGUCUCUUAAUGUCUCCUGCAAAUGAAGUGUGAAACGCGCUUUCAAGAAAACAAGGGUAACGGAGACUCAAUAAAUAUUUCAUCCUGGUGGGAAA